CGUUUUUUUUUUUUUUUUUAAAACAGACUUGGGGAAAGACAUCCAGCAGGAUGCUUCUCACUUUCAGUCCGAGCUGCUGGCCCAAACAUCGCUCAAAGUGUCCGGAGCAGUCGCUCUGAGGUGGAAGUGAGUCUCGGGCGAUGUUUCGAGGAGCGGCGGAGUUGAAGAGAGCCGACCAUGAAAGCGUGGACUCCGGGACCGAAACCGCCGAAUACGACUGCAGCAGGAUGUCAUCAGCUGGCAUCAAGGUCAUGACCAGAUGGGGCAGGCUGCAGCGAACGCAGCAGUUUUUGCUGAUGAACUUGCAUCUUCUAGCUAACCCUGGGGACUCCCUGCUCCUGCAGCACACCCUGGAUCGCCUGCUGCGCUGGCUCUGCCCAAGUCUCCGCAUCUUCCAUGUAUCAGAGAGGGCGUCCCCAUUUAGAAGUUAUACUCGGCUUUGUCCUGUGGCAGGUAAGGGUCUUUUUUUGUCCAAGCU
rnacentral:lncRNA from 1 species